rnacentral:rRNA from 1 species
UAUUGCUCUUGAACGAGGAAUCCCUAGUAAGCACAAGUCACUAGCUUGUGCUGAUUACGUCCCUGCCCUUUGUACACACCGCCCGUCGCUACUACCGAUUGAAUGGCUUAGUGAGGCCUUCGGAUUGAGUUUUGGGAACUGGCAACAGAUCCUGAUUUUUAAGAAGUUGGUCAAACUUGGUCAUUUAGAGGAAGUAAAAGUCGUAACAAGGUUUCCGUAGGUGAACCUGCGGAAGGAUCAUUACCAAUUUAGCGAACCUGGUCGCUUUUGACCGAGGUCUCGCAAAACCUGUAUUUAAAACCCACACUUUUUUUAAUAUAAGAUUAUCGUAUCAAUUAUGAUAAAAAAAAGAUCACUUUCAACAACGGAUCUCUUGGCUCUCGCAUCGAUGAAGAACGUAGCGAAGUGCGAUAAGUAAUGUGAAUUGCAGAAUUCCGUGAGUCAUCGAAUCUUUGAACGCAAAUUGCACUCCCUGGCAUUCCGGGGAGUAUGCCUGUUUGAGGGUCAGUUUAAAUAAAUAUCGUGGUGUUGCUUUUUUGUGACGCUUCGGAAUUGGGUUAUCUUGAUCCUCUGGGUUAAGUGACCUAAAAUUGAUGUAUCCUCUGUGCGUCUCGGACGUACAUAAGAAUUUUUUUUCCUAUCCGUCAGAGUUGCCAGGUCCUUAUUAGGUAUGAUCACGUUGCUUGUGAAAUCUGUACCUAUAAUGUAACUCAUAUUUUGACCUCAAAUCAGGUAGGAAUACCCGCUGAACUUAAGCAUAUCAAUAAGCGGAGGAAAAGAAAAUAACAAUGAUUCCCUUUAGUAACGGCGAGUGAAGGGGGAAAAGCUCAAAUUUUAAAUCGGUCAGGUUCUACCUGUUCGAGUUGUAAUUUGAAGAAGCGUUUUCCGCGUUCGGGUUGACCCAAAUCCUUUGGGAUAAGGUAUCAUGGAGGGUGAGAAUCCCGUCCGGUUGACCUUGAAACGCUCUACGAUACGCUUUCAAAGAGUCGAGCUGUUUGGGAAUGCAGCUCAAAAUGGGAGGUAAAUUUCUCCUAAGGCUAAAUACCGGCGAGAGACCGAUAGCGAACAAGUACCGUGAGGGAAGGAUGAAAAGAACUUUGAAAAGAGAGUUAAACAGUACGUGAAAUUGUUGAAAGGGAAACGAUUGAAGCCAGUCGUUCUGACGGAAAAUCAACUUUUCGGGUGCCUAUCGUGGGUGACGUUGAGCCUCACGGUCUUCGUUGCUUGUGUUUGUUGGUACCUUUGGAGUGCACUUUUUCGUAUGGUAGGUCAACAUCGAUUUUAAUCGUCAUAAAAUGAUCGGAGGAAUGUGGCUUCGAUUUCGAUUGGAGUGUUAUAGCCUUUGGUAGAUGUGACGAUUGGGAUCGAGGAUUGCAACGAAUACCCUUUGGGCUAUCCGUCUGGCCUCUGAAAGUCGCUUGGGUGCUGAAAGCUUUGCUUAUAGUAUUCAAGUUGGCGGUCAACAGGUUAGAAUGUGAUUACAUUCGUUAAGGAUGUUGACGUAAUGGCUUUAAACGACCCGUCUUGAAACACGGACCAAGGAGUCUAACAUAUGUGCGAGUGUU